GCCGGGGUCGCCUAGUGGUAUGGCGGCAGCCUGCUAAGCUGUUUAGCUAGAAAUGGCUUCUGCGAGUUCGAUUCUCGCCCCCGGCG
rnacentral:tRNA from 1 species